rnacentral:rRNA from 1 species
CAUAGGUUUGGUCCCAGCCUUCCUGUUAACUCUUAAUAAACUUACACAUGCAAGCAUCUACACCCCAGUGAGAAUGCCCUCUAGGUUAUUAAAACUAAGAGGAGCUGGCAUCAAGCACACACCCUGUAGCUCACGACGCCUUGCUUAACCACACCCCCACGGGAAACAGCAGUGACAAAAAUUAAGCCAUAAACGAAAGUUUGAUUAAGUUAUAUUAAUUAGGGUUGGUAAAUCUCGUGCCAGCCACCGCGGUCAUACGAUUAACCCAAGCUAACAGGAGUACGGCGUAAAACGUGUUAAAGCACCAUACCAAAUAGGGUUAAAUUCUAACUAAGCUGUAAAAAGCCAUGAUUAAAAUAAAAAUAAAUGACGAAAGUGACCCUACAAUAGCCGACGCACUAUAGCUAAGACCCAAACUGGGAUUAGAUACCCCACUAUGCUUAGCCCUAAACACAGAUAAUUACAUAAACAAAAUUAUUCGCCAGAGUACUACUAGCAACAGCUUAAAACUCAAAGGACUUGGCGGUGCUUUAUAUCCUUCUAGAGGAGCCUGUUCUAAUCAAUCACUAGU